rnacentral:lncRNA from 1 species
GGGUUCUGUAUAUUAUCCAAUUCAUCCCGUUCUUCUUUUCUUUAUAGUAAUAGUACAAGUACACUAUUUUGGCAAACUUCCGCUUUAUUUAGUUUAGUUUUGGAAAAAGAAUUUUGUUUAUUUAUCAAUUGUAUUGCCAAAUCUAUCAAUGGAGACACUAAUACUCGUAAAUAACACCAUGAGAUGUAUAAAGAUACGCUUAAAACAUCCAACAGACUCUACCUUUUAGGCCGAAUAAAACUCACCAUGAGAUUAGCCAAAGCAAUUUCGAUAAUAUCUUGGUUUGUUGCAAUCUCAAGCUCCAAUAGUGAAUUGCUAUUGAUGUCCG